UGCAGUUGCUGCGUCAUUCGUGACAGCUUGUUUUCCCUAUUCCUUCCUCAUUCGUGAACCUGAAUUCUACAGAAAGAAACCGUUCCUCCUCUGCCCUUCAAUUACGUGUUUACGCAGCACUGUGGUCCAGCCCCCACCGUCUGCCAGAGGCGCCAGUCCCCAGAUGGCAGACAGCUUGCUCGUGAGGUCAUGGCUCCUGACAGCGUCGGAGCUCACCGGUGUUCCCGGCAGGACGAGCAGCGCGUGCCUUGCGGUGCCCCCUCGGCGGCUCUUUCCCACGUAGCAAGAAGAGUUCUGGUGUGUGGCCAGGCAAGGAGCCGGUGGCUCUGCAGCAAUUCCGGCUUCUGCCAGCCCGGGGAGCCUGAAACCAGGAAUCAAACCUCUGUCCUCAUUUUUCUAAAAAUAGUUCUUCAGGAAGCAGGAUCCAGAGGAGCACAGUGACUCCAAGAGCUGAGGCACCGGGAGAACCAGGAGCCAGGGCACGGUCACAGGGCAUCGCAUCAGCUGGCUCCUCGCUGCCUGGCACUUGACAUGCAGCACUGGCAUGAAGUCUCGAGACGUCUUUGGCAGGUGCACGGCAAAUUUACAGACAGCUGAGGGCCAGGGAUUGAACUGCUCACGAGGGCAUUAGGGGACUGCUGACUCUGAACCACAGUGUGAGAGGCCUUAGGGCUCCUGCUAAAAAUGCGUCACUCAAAGCAUCUAGAAGCAAGUAUGAAAAAGUGAGAAGCGUGCAUUGUCGUUCUGAUCACAGGUAAAACACCCAAACCAAUUGCGCUUCUGAGAAACAUAGCCCCAGUGCUGCCAGGUUCUCCGACUGUGAGACAUGAAAACGAGGGGCUUCACAAAGAUUCAUCAGCUCAGGUGCCAUCAGGUGUCGCAAAUAGUCCGUGAACUUUACAAGGAAGAGGCAGUGGCUUCGGGAGCUUGGAAGGCGGCCCAGUCAGUCCCGCUCCCUGAUUCGCUCUGAGAGACGAGAACUAGGAAGCCAGUGAGUCUCGUCCUCACCUUUAGGAGUCAGUUGUGAAAACUGCAGAGCUUAGAGACGGAGCUCGCUGAGUUCCAGCUCCAGCCCGGCCCACUGCGAGGUGCACCUCCUCAGCCCAGCAUUUGCCUCUCUGGCUCCGUCUCUCAUCUGUAGAAGAACAAGAACACAGCCUCACUCAGCUCUCCUUAAGUCAGCACCUGCUACGUGCCACGUUAUGGGCCAGGCCCCAGAGGGAUAUGGUGGAUCCUCUUCUCUCCCUGGGUUUGCAAUUUUUGAACUUUUAUUCUGUGAAUGGGAACCCUCAAUAAGGGCUGUGGCUGUGGCAUAGGAGGCUACGCCUCUGUCUGUGGUGCCGGCAUCCCAUAUGGGUACUGGUCUGAGUCUCAGCUGCUCCUCUUCUGGUCCAGCUCUCUGCUAUGGCUUGGAAAGCAGGGGAGGAUGGCCUAAAUGCCUGGGCCCUACACCUGUGUUGGAGACCAGGAAGAAGCCCGUGGCUCCUGGCUUCGGAUCAGCCCAGCUCUAGCCGUUGUGGUCAUUUAGGGAGUGAACCAGCGGAUGGAAGACCUCUCUGUCUCUCCCUCCCUCUGUCUAUAACUAUCUCUCAAAUAAAUACAUAAAUGUAAAAAAAAACCUCAAAUACAUAAUUUCUGUCUGGGCUGCACAUCCCACCGUGGACGUUCUUUCAGGUGGUGGUGGUGGUGGCCUCCUCAUGGGCCCGCAUCUUUUUUUUCUUUUCUUUUUUGAGCAUGUUCCGCUCUUGUUUCCACAGAGCAGAGGAAGACAGAGUCGAAGGGGCAGUCCCAGCAGGAGAAGCGCCGUGCCUGAGAGACUGGCUGGAGCCCAGAUGUGUGGAGGAGAGGGGGCAGGCCAGUGGGGUCGGGCUGGGAAGGGCAGGGGUGGGCACGGUGCCUUUGAGGACCCGGAAGAAGGAAGCAGGCUGUGCCCUGGUGCGGCGGGCCACUGAGGGAGGCUCAGCGGGGCAGAUGCUGCGAGGGGCCGGGAGCCAGCGGGGGAGCUCAGGCACGGUUUAGGGGAACUGGAGCCGUGAAGGGCGAUCAACAGGCGUGAUCCUGGGUGCAGUGAGAUAGCACCUCCUGCAGUGCGGGCCACAUGGGAGGUCGCGGUGAGGGGUCCUGCCGUGCUGUUACUGCUCUGGCGCUGCUUCUGCUGGCGUGUCUACUGCUGCUGCUGCUGCGGCUGCCACUGCUGUUGCCUCUGCUACCCAACUACUGCUGUGACCGCACUGCUGCCUGUGCCACUAGUGCUGCUACGGCUCCUGCAGCUCGUGUGGGGCUGUGCUGUGGCGCAGCAGGUUAACCCACUGCUUGUGCACCAGUUUCCUGCAUCGGAGUGCCAGUUCGAAUCCCAGCUACCUUGCAUCUGAUCCAGCUUCCCUCUGACUCACCUGGGAAGGCAGCAGAAGAUGACUGGAGUGCUUGGGCUCCUGCCACCUGUGUGGGAGACUAGGUUGGGGUUCCUGGCUCCUGGCUUUGGCCUGGCCCAACCUUGGUUGUUGCAACCACUUGGCGAAUGAUCCAGUGGAUAGCAGAUCUCUCUUUCUGCAUCUCUCCCUUGUUCUCUGUUGCUUUGCUUUUCAAAUAACUAAACAAAUCUUUAAAACAGUAAGACUGGGGCUGGCACUGUGGCUCAGUAGGUUAAUCCUCCGCCUGUGGCACCAGCAUCCCCUAUAGGCCCCGCUUCUAGUCCUGGCUACUCCUCUUCUGAUCCAGCUCUCUGCUGUGGCCUGGGAAAGCAGUAGAAGAUGGCCCAAGUCCUUGGGCCCCUGCACCCAUGUGGGAGACCCGGAGAAAGCUCCUGGCUCCUGGCUUCGGAUCGGCGCAGCUCCAACCAUUGCAGCCAAUUAGGGAGUGAACCAGUGGAUGGAACACCUAUCUCUCUGUCUCUCCCUCUCACUGUCUGUAACUCUAUCACUCAAAUAAAUAAAUAAAAUCUUUGAAAAGAAAACAGUAAGACUAGCGUUCCUACUACUGCCUUUAUAUCCUUACAAUUAACCCUUCUCAGGAAGCGUUAAGGUUUUGUUAGUGAGCUCUGGUACAUCUGAAGACCCCAAGCUGGACCCCAGCCACUCUGUCCCCUCUGUUGGCUCUUGGGGAAGUCACCCCGACUCAGCAGGUGCUGUGGGGAGUGGGGAGGCUGUUGGAGGCCCUCACAGCUGGUAGGAAGCCCUGGUUGGGAGCAAGCAGGCUCCGGCUGCAGCUGCAGGCGGCCAGCACCCAUGGGUGUUAUUUCCUGCUCCCAUGGCUGUGCACAAUUCAUGAAAAGCUGAUUUCCACCCAAAGGUUUGUUUGUUCCAUGGCAGGUCCCGGAUACCCACCUGGUGCCAAGCACUGCUGUGGGUGCAACAGGAUAAGACAUCUCCGAGCCCUCUCACUGCUCAUGUCGUCAGCAGAGUACCAGAGAAGGCGCCGCGGGAAGCUAUCAGAGCACCUGUGUCUACCUGUUAGAACCUGCAGUGUUGGGAGAUCCCGGCUGUGAAUCAGUGUGGCCAUGGAAGUGAUGAUGUGGGCUGAACCCUGUGGACGGGAAACGUCAGUGUGGCAGUGGGGAGCAAGCCCAGCCUGGUAAGACAGAACAGUGCACCUGGCUAGGCAGGCGUCUGCAGGCCAGUCAGCAGGGAGCAGAGGGCGGGCCUCAUCCCUGCUGUGGAAGGGGGCGGGGACAAGUUUUGCUUCCUUCUCUCUAUUCCAUAUACAUACAGAUCAUUCCAGCAGUGAGCGCUUAGCAUUUGUGUUUGCAGGGAAAAGAGUGCUAAUUUUAUUCAAGGAGACAAGAGUGGAGGAGGGAGGGCUGGGGAGCGGUCAGGCUUGUGGCCUGACUCGGGCCUGUGCUGGCCUGGCAGGUCCCAGGCUCACUGCUCCCUGUGGGAAGGGAAACUGAUGCGCAGAGCUACCCGCCGUUUAAGGGCAACGCCUCCUGUGUGCUGCUGCUGUCUCUGGUGUUUGGGUUCAGAGAAAACUUGGGACACAUCCAGGCUCCCUGGCUUAGCAGCUGUGUGCCUCUGAGCAAUUCUGUAAACUUUCUGAACGGGCGCCUCCCCCACCGUGAUGUAGACGUACUCCCGGUCUGGCAGACAGAGCGGGCACAGGGGCCUGCCGGCGUUCUGAGGAAGGCAUGGGUGCUGUGUGUGUUGUUUCUGUAUACACAGCACAGUGUGUCUGUGUGCUGUGUGUGCACAUGAGUCUGUGUGGGUUCUAUGUAUAUACACUGUAUGUGUGUGCUGUGUGUACACAGUGAGUCUGUGUGCUGUGUGUGCACAGUGUGUCUGUGUGGGUUCUAUGUAUAUACACUGUGUGUGUGCUGUGUGUACACAGUGUGUCUGUGUGCUGUGUGUGCACAGUGAGUCUGUGUGGGUUCUGUGUAUAUACACUGUGUGUGUGCUGUGUGUACACAGUGUGUCUGUGUGCUGUGUGUACACAGUGUGUC